UACGGGGGGGGCAAGCGUUGUUCGGAAUUACUGGGCGUAAAGGGCUCGUAGGUGGCCAACUAAGUCAGACGUGAAAUCCCUCAGCUUAACUGGGGAACUGCGUCUGAUACUGGAUGGCUUGAGUUUGGGAGAGGGAUGCGGAAUUCCAGGUGUAGCGGUGAAAUGCGUAGAUAUCUGGAGGAACACCGGUGGCGAAGGCGGCAUCCUGGACCAAUACUGACACUGAGGAGCGAAAGCCAGGGGAGCAAACAGG
rnacentral:rRNA from 1 species